CAUUGUACUGACAAAUUGCAAAAAACGUUGAUCAGUCAAUAAGCAGCGAUGGGUCCCACUUGGCAGGCUGACAUGGCACCAAGUUUUCACACCGUUUUACUAGCCCAUUAAAAGGUUCCCAGGGCCCACCCGUCAGCUUCUUGGCUUCUUUCUCUUCUCCAGAGCCUCUUAUCCACGGAUGAUGGCCUCGCCGGCGCCGCUCCCCCGCGCCUCACCUGCUGGCCAAGCCUUCCCUCCCUCCCCUUCCAUUGCCGGCAACCACGGCAGUUCCCGUGCUUCCCGACGGAGGCAGGGCCGGACGGAGGCUCGGUGGUCACGGGCUCACGGCGGCUGGAGGUAGCGGCGGUGCUGUCGUAGGUCGGGUCGAGCUCCCCCACGCCGAGCUCGCCGGUGACCUGAGGCCAACACGAAGAGCUCCCCGACCUCCAGUGCUCCUUAUUUCCCAACCCCGCGACCCGCCCCAUACUCGAUUAUCCCCGUCGCUGUUGCAAACCUCGGCCCCGCCAUCGACGAAGUUCAUGGUUGUCGCGGCCAACGACCACCGCAAAUCACUGAAACUUGCCGAAUAGACUCGUCGUCGUCUGAAUACUCUCUUCCCCAGAGGAAUCGGCGUGAGGAGCCAGGAACGGAGGAACCGUCGGCGUCGCUUUCAUCUUCUCUGCCUCCGGUGGAGCUCCGCGGCGCGCUGAUCUCCUCUACAACUAACCCAUGUGAUCUCCCUCAACUACAUCUACUUCGCAAGGACGUGCAGAAGGCACUGAUGCCUCUUCCUCGAGCUCUCUGCAUCCAAGGCCGCCCCCGCCCUUCACCUCUGCUAUGUCAUCCGCCGCCGACGUUGCGGCUAACUGCCAUGCUCCGCUGCUGUCCCCGUGUCCUGGACCCACCUAGGCGUGCUAAUCCAUUGAUUUCUGCCUGCACAUUGGCAGCUCACAACCCCACAGUAAACACACCGCGCGGCGAAGCUUCAGAUUUGCUCUAGAUCCAGCUCGUCGCCGCCCUCGCAGUUCAUGUCGAUGGCCACCUCCGGCGCCCGUUGCUCCUUCCCAUCGCGUGCAUGGCCACCGCCACGGCGUCGGGCGGCUCGACGAGGAGCAGGUGGUGGCGGCGCGUCCAAAAGAAGAAGGUUGCGGUAGCCCAGCAGCAAGGGGCGGCGGCGCCGACGAGCGUGCGGGCGCGGGCGCGCUGUGGCCUCCGGGGCGCGACUGGUUCGAUUUUGACUGGUCAAACCUGACCAGUUAGCGCCGUUAUUCCCUGCGUGACGGGCGCCGUCUCCCCCUCCGCCAGGUGGCAUCUGACAGUGGGACCUAGCGGUCAGUUUUGCAUCAAACGACUCUAAUCAACCUAGCAGCGUUUUUUGCAAACUGUCAGUACAAUGGUGGUGGGUUUUUGCAAAAAAAGAAACGUGAUGGUUUUUGCAAUUUACUCUACACUUCGCAACAGGGCUCGUCGAAAUCCCGACACAAUAACAACAUAUAUUUCAUUGUUCUUGAUGACAGCCGGAGAUUAAAGUUAACUCAACAUAUGUGGAUUACGGCACCAUGGACUUUCAAGCACUCUUGGAAGGACCCCAUGAUUUGGACAGAUGGCUGAAAGGUAAGAUGUUUAAUUCUUGUGGUCUAUUCCAAACUUUGUUACACAAGCAAGCAAUUUAUCAAUGGUUCAACUUUCAAACCAAAUAAUGUAUGAUUCCUUGCAGGUGCAUUCAUUCCUACUUAUAUAAAGGAGGCGAAUUUAACUCAUGAGGCAAGAUUUUCGCACAUCCAAAAGUACAAACUUGCAAAACAAAUGAACGUGGCAAAUGGCAUUGAAAAACUGUUUCAUCAUUGUAGAAUGAAUGCAAAUUUUAUUCACCAACUAGGGACCAUGGCAUGACAAUACAAACACCUAUGGCUGAGAAAGAGGAGGCCACUGCCACCACGACUCUCAAUGGCGGAGGAGGAGAUGAGAGAGGGAGGAGGGGCCAUGUACCCGCUGCCUUGUCACCGGAGAAGCAGAAGGCUUGCGGCCACCGCCACACCACCGGAGGAGGGGACCUGCGAUCUACUAGGUGUGAAUUAUGAAGGCUACAUUUGUUGCAAUGUACCAUUUGUCAUUGUCUCAAGUAGUUAAACACAUAUGCUAUGUGCUUCAGAUUACAUAGCAAAAAGUGGUUGGAGGCAUGGAAGUCGUGUGAGAAGUGCACGUGAGAGAGGAACAUGGUCGAUAAACAUAGAACCAUGCUCCCGAGACUUGCGUUCUACAAGUGAAGGCCAAAAACAUGGGAGCAGAAGAAACAAUGACCAUUGGACAUCUGAAGAGGUGAAAGAACUAGUGGAUGGCGUAUCUGUAUAUGGGGUUGGACCAUGGACUAAGUUGAAGAAUGAAAGGUUUCCAAUAUCAAUUCGAACAGCGGUGCAUCUUAAGGAUAAGUGGAGAAACCUAGUGAAAGCCUUCACGGGAAAUGUGAAAAGAAGGAUCUCGCCUCGUCUAGAUAAGGAUUGCGUCGAAAAGAUCAAGAGGCUAGCAGCUGAUUACCCUCGAAAAUGAAGUAGCACUCGUGAAUGCUACGCGAAACAUCAUACAGUACUUUCGGUGUAGCAGUGACCCUGCAACAAGAGUUCUGUUAUUUUUCCAGAACUGUGAAGCAUAGGCUGUCAUAUUAAGUGUGUCGAGAGUAGAGAGUAGACUGAACCAUCUGAAUGGAACAGCCUCUAUCUCCUG